rnacentral:rRNA from 1 species
AGUGAACGCUGGCGGUAGGCCUAACACAUGCAAGUCGAACGGCAGCACAGUAAGAGCUUGCUCUUACGGGUGGCGAGUGGCGGACGGGUGAGGAAUACAUCGGAAUCUACUUUUUCGUGGGGGAUAACGUAGGGAAACUUACGCUAAUACCGCAUACGACCUACGGGUGAAAGCAGGGGAUCUUCGGACCUUGCGCGAUUGAAUGAGCCGAUGUCGGAUUAGCUAGUUGGCGGGGUAAAGGCCCACCAAGGCGACGAUCCGUAGCUGGUCUGAGAGGAUGAGCAGCCAAACGGGAGUUGAGACACGGUCCGGACCCCAAGGGGGGGCAGCAGUGGGAAAUGUGGACAAUGGGCGCAAGCCUGAUCCAGCCAUACCGCGUGGGUGAAGAAGGCCUUCGGGUUGUAAAGCCCUUUUGUUGGGAAAGAGAAGCAGCAGGUUAAUACCCCGCUGUUCUGACGGUACCCAAAGAAUAAGCACCGGCUAACUUCGUG